rnacentral:rRNA from 1 species
UACGUAGGCAGCAAGCGUUGUUCGGAAUUACUGGGCGUAAAGAGUACGUAGGUGGUUUGCUAAGUCCGAUGUGAAAUCUCCCGGCUUAACUGGGAGGGUGCGUUAGAUACUGGCAGGCUUGAGUGUGGGAGAGGAGAGCGGAAUUCCUGGUGUAGCGGUGAAAUGCGUAGAUAUCAGGAGGAACACCGGUGGCGAAGGCGGGUCUCUGGGUAGUAACUGACGCUGAGGAACGAAAGCGUGGGUAGCGAACAGG